GACAUGGAGCGAGAGAGAGAGAGAGAGAGAGAGAGAGUUCUAUGGGUGAUAAUAUCCUGUUAUGACUUCCAGACACUUUGAAACGAGAGAAAAACAUCACCUGAGAUAAACCCCUGCGUAUGUAAUUCUCCAGCUGUGACGCAGGGUGAACUCACACAGGGUCCCACCCCAUUGCUCAGUAACAGCCUGUUUCAGCACAGAGCCCGAGUUACUACAACUGCUACUGCAUGGUGUCCUAAUGAUCAUGAUGCAUUUGCAUUUAGCUCUUUUUAUUCUGACAGUACACUGGCUUUCAACUAUCUAUAAGCUAACAAUGUGAUUAAUUCAGCAUUACUGAGAACUUUUAGAACAGCGAUAUCAAACUAAUUACAUUUUUUUUUUAUUCACAGUCAUGCAGGUCAUACAGGUCCAACAGGACCCAAGGGACUUGGUUCUGUCCAAAGGAUCAUCGAUGAAGGUCACCUGCUCUAUAACUGCUACAGGUACUCCAAACCUGUACUGGUACCACUGGAAUGAAACAGCAGGUUUCACACUGGUCUUCACCUCUCGAGCUACUGGUUCAGUGAAUCCUGCCAGUGAGGGUCAGUUUAAAUCUCACAGACCUGAACAGCUUCAGAUCAUUCUGGAGUCUGAUGGAGUGAGUGAGAUCGGAUCUGCAGUGUGGUACUGUGCAGCCAGUCCCCACAGCAUCACAGUGUCAUCACAGAGCUGUACAAAAACCACAACAUCUUCUUAAGCUUGGGUUUUAUGCUCAAAUAUGUUUUAUGUUUAAUAUCCUGUUUUACAUUGUUGAUCAGCUCAUGGCCUUAAUGGAUAGAAGCCUAGCUGAUCUGUGAAUUCACAUUUGCGAUACUGAAAAAAGUUUUUGCUAUCUGCAUUUUCCUCCAAUUAAUGUGAAUUUUUAAAAAAGUUUCUUAAUAUUAAAAUUACACAAGUUUGUCCUUGGCUAUAAAUGGCUAAGAAUAUAUGUUUCUGU